rnacentral:rRNA from 1 species
AGCAGCAGCAGCAGCCGCCGUAACACAUGCAAGUCAAACGCGAAAGGGAUUCGUCCCCGGUAGCGUGGCGUCCGGGUGAGUAACACGUAGGAAACCUUCCCUAGAGAGUGGGAUAACGUUCCGAAAGGGACGCUAAUACCGCAUAAGCCCACGACCGCUUCGGCGGAUGAGGGAAAAGAUGGCCUCUGUAUACAAGCUAUCACUUUGGGAUGGUCCUGCGGCGCAUCAGCUAGUUGGUAGGGGUAUGGCCUACCAAGGCGAAGACGCGUAGCUGGUCUGAGAGGAUGAUCAGCCACACUGGCACUGCAACACGGGCCAGACUCCUACGGGAGGCAGCAGUGGGGAAUAUUGGACAAUGGGCGCAAGCCUGAUCCAGCCACGCCGCGUGAGUGAUGAAGGCCUUCGGGUUGUAAAGCUCUGUGGGGAGAGGCGAAAACAGUCAUCAAGAAACGGAUGAUUCUUGACGGUAUCUCCUUAGCAAGCACCGGCUAACUCUGUGCCAGCCGCCGCGGUAAAAC